AGCUACUUUUAUACCCUUGAAUAUUUUAUUAAAUUGGGCUUCUGGCCUCACAAACACAACUAAAUUUUUAUUUAAUCACGAUAAAAACAUAAUUAUCAAAACUUUCAACAACGGAUCUCUAGGUUCUCGCAACGAUGAAGAACGCAGCGAAUUGCGAUACGUAUUGUGAAUUGCAGAUUUUCGUGAAUCAUCGAAUCUUUGAACGCACAUUGCGCCCUGUGGUAUUCCACAGGGCAUGCCUGUUUGAGCGUCGUUUCCUUCUCAAGCCGCGAGGUUUGGUGUUGGGCAUGGCGGCAGCCGGUCUGAAAUAUUUUUAUGGAGCGUCAGUUUUUCUGAGGCCAGUGUCUAGCAAUAUUCACUUGGACAAAUAGAGAGCUUAUACAAUCCUAAAUAUCACAGCAAUCGACCUCAAAUCAGGUAGGACUACCCGC
rnacentral:rRNA from 1 species